GAUGAACGCUGGCGGCGUGCCUAAUACAUGCGAGUCGAGCGAACAGACGAGGAGCUUGCUCCUCUGACGUUAGCGGCGGACGGGUGAGUAACACGUGGAUAACCUACCUAUAAGACUGGGAUAACUUCGGGAAACCGGAGCUAAUACCGGAUAAUAUAUUGAACCGCAUGGUUCAAUAGUGAAAGACGGUUUUGCUGUCACUUAUAGAUGGAUCCGCGCCGCAUUAGCUAGUUGGUAAGGUAACGGCUUACCAAGGCAACGAUGCGUAGCCGACCUGAGAGGGUGAUCGGCCACACUGGGACUGAGACACGGUCCAGACUCCUACGGGAGGCAGCAGUAGGGAAUCUUCCGCAAUGGGCGAAAGCCUGACGGAGCAACGCCGCGUGAGUGAUGAAGGUCUUCGGAUCGUAAAACUCUGUUAUUAGGGAAGAACAAAUGUGUAAGUAACUAUGCACGUCUUGACGGUACCUAAUCAGAAAGCCACGGCUAACUACGUG
rnacentral:rRNA from 1 species